AACGAACGCUGGCGGCAUGCCUAACACAUGCAAGUCGAACGAACCCUUCGGGGUUAGUGGCGCACGGGUGCGUAACGCGUGGGAAUCUGCCCUUUGCUUCGGAAUAACAGUUAGAAAUGACUGCUAAUACCGGAUGAUGUCUUCGGACCAAAGAUUUAUCGGCAAAGGAUGAGCCCGCGUAGGAUUAGGUAGUUGGUGGGGUAAAGGCCUACCAAGCCGACGAUCCUUAGCUGGUCUGAGAGGAUGAUCAGCCACACUGGGACUGAGACACGGCCCAGACUCCUACGGGAGGCAGCAGUGGGGAAUCUUAGAAAAUGGGGGCAAGCCUGAUCUAGCCAUGCCGCGUGAGCGAUGAAGGCCUUAGGGUUGUAAAGCUCUUUCAGCGAGGAAGAUAAUGACUGUACUCGCAGAAGAAGCCCCGGCUAACUCCGUGCCAGCAGCCGCCGUAAGAC
rnacentral:rRNA from 1 species